ACAUGUGCGCACAUCUUUACAGCAAUAGUUGAUAGUUGAAUAAGUGAGCAGUAGGUAAUACUACAGUGUCACAGCUAUCACGCGAGUUAUAAACUAUUAUACAUUUGUGAAUAUCCAGCGAUGCGUUUGAGUUUACAGUUAUUCGUAGCCUGUAUUGUGCUUGGGACUAUUGCGCAGUGUCAGGACUGUAAAGUUGGCGGAACACUGUGUGCUGAUCACGAGCAAUGCUGUGGCGGAUGCUGUUUUAACGGAGAAUGCAUUGACACUUAUCGAUCAUGUCUCGAAGAUUCGAAUGUGUGCAAAGACCAUGUCUGCAAAGGUGAAGAAAACUGCGUACCCUACAAGCCGGCGAAAUGCAUUGGAUGCGAUCCACUGCCGCUAUGUCGUACAAAAAGAUAAAUAUGCUACUGAAUUGAAAGAUUUAUUGAAAAAUGGACGCCCACUGAAAUAUUGUAUUUAUUUGAUUUGUUUACAUAUUGAAUUAAGAAAUUACAACUAAUAUUUAUUAAUAAUUAUUAAUAACAGAACAUUGUUGAUGAAUAAUUCCAGACAAUUUCGAAAAGCCAACAAAUAAAUUGUCUUGGUUUAA